GACGUAGGGCGCGAGCGUUGUCCGGAUUUAUUGGGCGUAAAGAGCUCGUAGGCGGCUUGUCGCGUCAACUGUGAAAACCCGUGGCUCAACCAUGUGGUCUGCAGUCGAUACGGGCAGGCUAGAAUUCGGUAGGGGAGACUGGAAUUCCUGGUGUAGCGGUGAAAUGCGCAGAUAUCAGGAGGAGCACCGGUGGCGAAGGCGGGUCUCUGGGCCGAUAUUGACGCUGAGGAGCGAAAGCGUGGGGAGCGAACAGG
rnacentral:rRNA from 1 species